rnacentral:rRNA from 1 species
UACGGAGGGUGCAAGCGUUAUCCGGAUUCACUGGGUUUAAAGGGUGCGUAGGUGGGUUUGUAAGUCAGUGGUGAAAUCUCCGGGCUUAACUCGGAAACUGCCAUUGAUACUAUCUGUCUUGAAUACCGUGGAGGUUAGCGGAAUAUGUCAUGUAGCGGUGAAAUGCUUAGAUAUGACAUAGAACACCAAUUGCGAAGGCAGCUGGCUACACGAAUAUUGACACUGAUGCACGAAAGCGUGGGGAUCAAACAGG